UACGUAGGGGUGCAAGCGUUUGUCCGGAAUUAUUGGGCGUAAAGAGCUUGUAGGCGGUUUGUCGCGUCUGCUGUGAAAUUUCGGGGCUCAACCCCGAACUUGCAGUGGGUACGGGCAGACUAGAGUGUGGAGGGGGAGACUGGAAUUCCUGGUGUAGCGGUGAAAUGCGCAGAUAUCAGGAGGAACACCGAUGGGCGAAGGCAGGUCUCUGGGCCAUAACUGACGCUGAGAAGCGAAAGCAUGGGGAGCGAACAGG
rnacentral:rRNA from 1 species